AUCCUUAUGUGAUUUAUAAAUAUGAUGGUAUGAUGGGGUUUUUACACCACUGUGUGAGAUGUGCUCGCCUCAAACCUUGUUACAAAACCAUCAAAUUAGCUUCAAUAUA
rnacentral:snoRNA from 1 species